rnacentral:rRNA from 1 species
AACGAACGCUGGCGGCGUGCUUAACACAUGCAAGUCGAGCGGAAAGGCCCUGCUUUUGUGGGGUGCUCGAGUGGCGAACGGGUGAGUAACACGUGAGUAACCUGCCCCUGACUUUGGGAUAACUUCAGGAAACUGGGGCUAAUACCGGAUAGGAGCUCCUGCUGCAUGGUGGGGGUUGGAAAGUUUCGGCGGUUGGGGAUGGACUCGCGGCUUAUCAGCUUGUUGGUGGGGUAGUGGCUUACCAAGGCUUUGACGGGUAGCCGGCCUGAGAGGGUGACCGGCCACAUUGGGACUGAGAUACGGCCCAGACUCCUACGGAAGGCAGCAGUGGGGAAUAUUGCACAAUGGGCGGAAGCCUGAUGCAGCAACGCCGCGUGCGGGAUGACGGCCUUCGGGUUGUAAACCGCUUUCGCCUGUGACGAAGCGUGAGUGACGGUAAUGGGUAAAGAAGCACCGGCUAACUACGUGCCAGCCGCCGCGGUAAGAC